rnacentral:SRP_RNA from 1 species
GCCAGAUGUAGUGGCGUAUGCCUAUAGUCCCAGCUACUUGGGAGGCAGAGGCAGGAGGAUUGCUUGAACCCAGGAGUUCGAGGUUACAGUGAGCUAUGAUCACACCACUGCACUCUGGCCUGGGUGACAGAGCAAGACCCUGCCUCAA